rnacentral:rRNA from 1 species
CAAGUCGAACGGUGAACCGGGCUUCGGCCCGGGGAUCAGUGGCGAACGGGUGCGUAACACGUGGGCAACCUGCCCCUCACUCUGGGAUAACCCCGGGAAACCGGAGCUAAUACCGGAUACUCCGACCGGUCCGCAUGGUCUGGUCGGGAAAAGUCCGCUGGUGAGGGAUGGGCCCGCGGCCUAUCAGCUUGUUGGUGGGGUAACGGCCCACCAAGGCGACGACGGGUAGCUGGUCUGAGAGGACGACCAGCCACACUGGGACUGAGAUACGGCCCAGACUCCUACGGGAGGCAGCAGUGGGGAAUCUUGCGCGAUGGGCGAAAGCCUGACGCAGCGACGCCGCGUGGGGGAUGAAGGCCCUCGGGUUGUAAACCCCUUUCGGCAGGGACGAAGCGAUCGUGACGGUACCUGCAGAAGAAGCCUCGGCUAACUACGUGCCAGCAGCCGCGGUAAGACGUAGGAGGCGAGCGUUGUCCGGAUUCAUUGGGCGUAAAGAGCACGCAGGCGGUUUGGCAAGUCGGAUGUGAAAACCCGAAGCUCAACUUCGGGCCUGCAUCCGAAACUGCCCGACUAGAGGUAGGUAGGGGAGAUCGGAAUUCCUGGUGUAGCGGUGAAAUGCGCAGAUAUCAGGAGGAACACCGGUGGCGAAGGCGGAUCUCUGGGCCUUACCUGACGCUCAGGUGCGAAAGCUAGGGGAGCGAACAGGAUUAGAUACCCUGGUUAGUCCUAGCCGUAAACGUUGGGUGCUAGGUGUGGGCGGUCAUCAACCCCGUCCGUGCCGAAGCUAACGCAUUAAGCACCCCGCCUGGGGAGUACGGGCCGCAAGGCUAAAACUCAAAGG